AUGAAUCUGUUGAGAAGGAAAGUAACCGCGGAUACUUUAAAGAGAGACUCUGGUUGGUGGAAAGAGUCAAGUCAGAAGCGAUGAAAAAUGGCCUUGGAGGAUUGAUUGUCGAUAAGUAGGCAAUCACGGAUGCGCACUACCGUUACAAAGUGCACCAAUCUCUAGCACGGCUAGACGUUGGGUUGAGGGAAGGGAAACCUUCUAAACAAAAGGUGGUAACACGAGUAUUCGUCCUUUUA
rfam:Enterococcus sp. 2G9_DIV0600 scaffold00002, whole genome shotgun sequence.